CCUACGGGAGGCAGCAGUGAGGAAUAUUGGUCAAUGGGCGAGAGCCUGAACCAGCCAAGUCGCGUGAAGGAUGACUGUCUUAUGGAUUGUAAACUUCUUUUAUACGGGAAUAACAAGAGUCACGUGUGACUCCCUGCAUGUACCGUAUGAAUAAGCAUCGGCUAACUCCGUGCCAGCAGCCGCGGUAAUACGGAGGAUGCGAGCGUUAUCCGGAUUUAUUGGGUUUAAAGGGUGCGUAGGCGGCCUGUUAAGUCAGCGGUGAAAUCUAGGAGCUUAACUCCUAAAUUGCCAUUGAUACUGGCGGGCUUGAGUGUAGAUGAGGUAGGCGGAAUGCGUGGUGUAGCGGUGGAAUGCAUAGAUAUCACGCAGAACUCCGAUUGCGAAGGCAGCUUACUAAGGUACAACUGACGCUGAAGCACGAAAG
rnacentral:rRNA from 1 species